AGUGACACCAGCCAUCCAUGUCCAGGAGCUGUUUUAGCCUUGUUAUCUAUCUUUGGUCACCCUCUCUCACACACCUUCCAAUCCUCCACUUGAGGCUCCCUGUUGGUCCGGCUCAUCCCCCACAGUGCCAGGUUCGCCGGCUCCCUGUUGGUCCGGCUCAUCCCCCACAGUGCCAGGUUCGCCGGCUCCCUGUUGGUCCGGCUCAUCCCCCACAGUGCCAGGUUCGCCGGUAAGUCCCCUCUCCGUUUUAGACACUUUCCCUCUCUCCAGUCACACCUUAGAAUCCUCCA